GCAAGUAAAAUUCGUCCUUCAAAUUUAAUAAAUUACCACAAUUAUUCAAGCACUUUACUGUAUAAGUGUAUAUAUCAUCAGCACUACUAAAUUUGAAAUGGUUUGUGAUGAAUGUGAUCAAUUAUACCGGUAUGUACUAGCACGACAUUACACACGGACACGGGGGUGGGGGAGGGAAGGAAAAAUAACGAAUGUUGAAAAGGAAAAAAGCAAAUCCUUAACUCGUGAGAAAACAAAAACACAAAACACAAACCCAUGUUAGGUUUAUCCCCCACUAAUUCACUAAAACCAAGAGUCCUUGAUAUUUGAUAUUUUGAUUCCAACCACCGGCCUUUCGGGACCAAACCUCCGGCGAGGCGGCGACUAGACCCUGACCUUCGGUGUUGUUCUUUCACUUUCCCAAAAUCCCCAAUUUAAUUUCAAAGUAAGUUAUACUCCCUCCGUUUUGUAAUAAUCGCAACACUUUCUUUACAUCUAUUUUAUAAUAGUUUGCAACAUUUCCUAUUUUAGUAAGGAUCCACUACUAUUUUAUUAUUUCUCUCUCCUACUUACCCCACUUGCUUAAAUAUUUAAUUAUUUCGCUCUUUACAAACCCCACUUAUAUUAUUUUUUAUUAUUUCUCUCUGCUACCGACAAUAAAAUAUAUUCUCACUAACUAUACUUUAUAUUAUAAAAUUCACCCUAUCCCUAUGAUCCCUACCCUAUAAAUUUUCUAAAACUUUGUGCAAGACCUACUAUUGCGAUUAAUACGAUGGAAGGAGUAACCAUAAAUCCCUAAUUUGAUUAAAGUCAUAUUUUUGUUUUUUUGUUUUGUUGUUGUUGUUUAAUUGUUUAUGUUGUUGUCUAUUUAGUUCUCUAAUUGUCUUGUUCCAUUAAUCUAUUGUUGAUUUGUUGAAUGUUGAAUGAGUACUUGAGUUAUUAUGUGAUUUUUUUGAAAUUUUAAGUUAAUUGUGUAUUUGUGUUUUUUUGUGUUGUGCCUAAUUUUUUGUUGUUUAGAUGGGUCAGAAAUUUAGAAUGUUAGAAAUUUGAAUACUUGGUUGAAUAAUUGUCUUUAAAUAGUUAUGGUAAUUGAUAAAUUGAAUAGUUGACUAAUUAGUUUAUUAUUUCCAAUUUAUUAGGACAUAUCACAAACUCAAUCUUCGACAAUUUAUGUCUAAAAGAAUGAAAUCCCAAGAUAUACCCCCUUCGUUUAGUUCUCACCAAACUCAAGAAGAUGAUAUGGAAAUUGGUGUUUCAAAUGCUAGUAAUGUAGUACUGGAGGAUGAAGAAUUGGUACACGAUCACUACUAGAAAAAAAUUUAUAUUAAUAUUAAAACGAGUUUUUCAUUAAAUCCGCUGCAAAUGAAUAAUAUCCUCCUUUACCCUAAACCCUCAUUUCAGAUUUCACUCUCCCUCCCUCUUCCAACUUGAUCAGCUUAAAAAAAUGCUCUCAACCGCCCCAACCAUCACCGUCAAAUCAGUCACUCUUCAAAACCCUCACCGUCACCACCCGUUUUCACCGUCACUUCUUCCGCUCGACAUAGUCCUCCCUUUCACUCACUCACUGACAAAGGUGUGGAUUCUGGUGACACUAUCAACAUCCAUAAAGGUGGUAACUCUGAGCAACAUCUGGAAAUUUGUAAAUAAGAUUUAGGUAUUUUUAGUAUUUACUAUCCAGCUAUCUGAGUUUUUUGAAAAUGCGAGGUGUACAGCAUUUACAUGUGAUCCUCUAAUUGCUUCCUUAAUGCCUUUUUACACAAUAGUAGAAAUGGUUCAGAUCUUCAUGUGGAUGCUAAUAUAAGCUUUAUACAGAUUUGCACGUUUUUAAAUGAAGAUCCUUAUACCGAUGGUGAUAUUGAAGAAGUGCGGAACAUAUGGGACUCAUAUUCACUAAUUAUUGUGUGUGAUCAUAGUUGUUAACAAUAUUUUGUGUUUUGUUUUGGAUUGAUAUAUGUACGAACAAAAGUGAAUCGUACAUUUUAUCAUAUAUUGUGAUAAUUUAAUUUGGGCUAAUUAAAGUAUUUUGUUCAUAAAGUUCAGGAAUACAGGUCCUUCAUGAGUAUAUUACACAUAAAAACAAUGGAUAUGCUGCCGAAAUUUUAUUUCAUUCAUUAUAUAUUACCAAAUAAUAGUAUUUUUUUUUUAAAAAAAUACUAUUAAUUAGCAGCGGAUGUUACACAA